rnacentral:lncRNA from 1 species
GUGCUCUUGUGAUUGUGACUGACACAGGCAGCACCCUUUUGCAGAAGUAGAUGUGCGUUGCUGAGAAAUUUUCUGCCUAAGUUCUGGUUUUCUUUGCAGCACCCAGCAUUUGUUUCUAACACAGGGAAAGAGUGAGCUGGAGAAACCUCUCAAAUUCAAGAAAGCGUAAAGCAAAUUGAACAAUACGGGUGAGGAGCACGGACUAUUCUCUCAUGUUGAAUGUGGCACUUUUUACAUACAAGCAGGAGAGCAACUACACCAAGAUUUUGGAAAACAUGUUAUGUAAGGUUAAUUGUGACCUCUAUGAUGGGGAUAUGAUAAAGAAGAAAAGUACCUCACAGCGAUGAUUGGCAUGUGAUCACUUAGCCAAUGAGAUAAGAGGCUGUAGAAACGAUGUGAUAAUGACAUCUCCUGAGUUGCAGUGAAUAUUUGAAGAGAAAACGAAGAGGUUAUUAAAUGUGUUUGGGAAUAUCAUAAUUAUAAUAGGUCCAUAACAAUAUUUGCCCAAGGGAUUGCUUGAGGAUUAAAUACGGGAUAGAAUUUGAAAAGUGAUGGGAAUGAGAAUCCUCGAGCAUGAGGAGUUUGGUUUCUUGAGGCUCCUUAAGGAGGUUCGGGGGAGACUGAGAAACAAGGCAAUGUGGAAAAUGGUUCAAAGACAAGAACAAAAGGUAAUAGAUUCUCUCCUUGAGGAAACUCUAGUCAGACUCAAAAUUUUCUUCUCAACUAGACCAUGACUUUUGGGCUUCUGUGUUUGUCUCUGCAUUGCUCAAUUUUAGCAAGAAGCUUUCCAAGUCAGUUUAGCCAGAGUCCUUCACUCACGAUACUUAGUUGGGUUCCUCAUUCUCCACAAUCCCCUUGUGAUGUCUGAUCACUGUAAGCAUGCCUUUAGCAACAGACCUAGUCAGUUAGCUUAGCCUAAAUGUCCUCUAAUUCUUGAUGUUUUUCUUAGUGAUUUUUUAUCCAAUGACCCUCACCCUGCUC